ensembl:lncRNA
GCGCCGAAUACAACAGGUAUUACAGUGAAAUGCUGACUUACGAGCCCCUAACCGACAAUGCAGUUUUAAAAAAUACAGAUAAGAUUAAGAGAUAAAAGUAACAAGUAAUUAAAGAGGAGCAGUAAAAAAUAACAUUAUAUACAGGCGGUGUGGAGGCUAUAUACAGGGUAUUACGGUACAGAGUCAAUGUGGAGGCUAUAUACAGGGGGUACUGGUACAGAGUCAAUGUGGAGACUAUAUACAGGGUGUUACGGUACAGAGUCAAUGUGGAGGCUAUAUACAGGGUAUUACGGUACAGAGUCAAUGUGGAGGCUAUAUACAGGGUGUUACGGUACAGAGUCAAUCUGGAGGCUAUAUACAGGGGGCACGGGUGCUGAGUCAAUGUGUGGGGGCGCCGGUUAGUUGAGGUAGUAUGUACAUGUAGGUAGAGUUAAUUAAAGUGACUAUGCAUAGAUGACAACAGAGAGUGGCAGUGGUGUGGAGAGGUGGGGGGUGAAUUGUCUGGGUAGUCCUUUGACUAGGUGUUCAGGAGUCUUAUGGCUUGGGGGUAGAAGCAGUUAAGAAGCCUCUUGGACCUCGACUUGGCACUCCGGUACCGCUUGCUGUGGGGUAGCAGAGAGAACAGUCUAUGGCUAGGGUGGCUGGAGUCUUUGACAAUUCUUUAGUCUUUCCUCUGACACCGCCUGGUAUAGAGGUCCUGGAUGGCAGGAAGCUUGGCCCCAGUGAUGUACUGGGCCGUACGCACUGCCCUCUGUGCCUUGCGGUCAGAGGCCGGGUAGUUGCC